rnacentral:rRNA from 1 species
UACAGAGGGUGCAAGCGUUGUUCGGAUUUAUUGGGCGUAAAGCGUGCGUAGGCGGCGGGGUAAGUGAGGUGUGAAAUCCCGGAGCUUAACUCCGGAACUGCACUUUAUACUGCCUUGCUCGAGGGCUGGAGAGGAGACUGGAAUUUACGGUGUAGCAGUGAAAUGCGUAGAGAUCGUAAGGAAGACCAGUGGCGAAGGCGAGUCUCUGGAAAGCUGCUGACGCUGAGGCACGAAGGCCAGGGGAGCAAACGGG